UACGGAGGAUGCGAGCGUUAUCCGGAUUUAUUGGGUUUAAAGGGUGCGUAGGCGGGCUUUUAAGUCAGCGGUAAAAAUUCGGGGCUCAACCCCGUCCGGCCGUUGAAACUGGGGGCCUUGAGUGGGCGAGAAGAAGGCGGAAUGCGUGGUGUAGCGGUGAAAUGCAUAGAUAUCACGCAGAACCCCGAUUGCGAAGGCAGCCUUCCGGCGCCCUACUGACGCUGAGGCGCGAAAGCGUGGGGAGCAAACAGG
rnacentral:rRNA from 1 species